CAGUCGCCACGGGAAUACGAAGGGGGCUAGCGUUGCUCGGAAUGACUGGGCGUAAAGGGCGCGUAGGCGGAUUGUUUAGUUAGGCGUGAAAUUCCUGGGCUUAACCUGGGGACUGCGCUUAAUACAGGCAGUCUAGAGUGAGGAAGAGGGUUGUGGAAUUCCCAGUGUAGAGGUGAAAUUCGUAGAUAUUGGGAAGAACACCGGUGGCGAAGGCGGCGACCUGGUCCUUGACUGACGCUGAGGCGCGAAAGCGUGGGGAGCAAACAGGAUUAGAUACCCCCGUAGUCCCUGUCUCUUAUAC
rnacentral:rRNA from 1 species